GAUGAAGAACGUAGCGAAAUGCGAUAAGUAAUGUGUAUUGCAGAAUUCAGUGAAUCAUCGAAUCUUUGAACGCACAUUGCGCCCCUUGGUAUUCCGAGGGGCAUGCCUGUUCGAGCGUCAUUAUAACCCCUCAAGCUCAGCUUGGUGUUGGGGCGUGCCGCACGGGCAGCCCUUAAAAUCAGUGGCGGUGCCAUCUGGCUCUAAGCGUAGUAAUUCUUCUCGCUAUAGAGUCCCGGUGGAUGCUUGCCAUUAACCCCCAAUUUUCUAUGGUUGACCUCGGAUCAGGUAGGGAUACCCGCUGAACUUAAGCAUAUCAAUAAGUGGAGGA
rnacentral:misc_RNA from 1 species